UACGUAGGGGGCGAGCGUUGUCCGGAAUCAUUGGGCGUAAAGAGCUCGUAGGCGGUUCAGCAAGUCGGCUGUGAAAUUCCGAGGCUCAACCUCGGAACUGCAGUCGAUACUGCUGUGACUCGAGUCCGGUAGAGGAGAAUGGAAUUCCAGGUGUAGCGGUGAAAUGCGUAGAUAUCUGGAGGAACACCGGUGGCGAAGGCGGCAUCCUGGACCGGUAUUGACGCUGAGGCGCGAAAGCCAGGGGAGCAAACGGG
rnacentral:rRNA from 1 species